GAUGAACGCUGGCGGCGUGCCUAACACAUGCAAGUCGAACGGAGUCCAGCCUUAGAGCCCUUCGGGUCAAAGAGGGGAAGACUGAGUGGCGGACGGGUGAGUAACACGUGGGCAACCUGGCUCAUAGAGGGGGAUAACAGAGAGAAAUUUCUGCUAAUACCGCAUAAGCACACACUGCCGCAUGGCAGAGUGUGAAAAGAGAAUCGCUAUGAGAUGGACCCGCGUCUGAUUAGCCAGUUGGCAGGGUAAGAGCCUACCAAAGCGACGAUCAGUAGCCGAUUUGAGAGGAUGAACGGCCACAUUGGGACUGAGACACGGCCCAAACUCCUACGGGAGGCAGCAGUGGGGGAUAUUGCACAAUGGGGGGAACCCUGAUGCAGCGACGCCGCGUGAGUGAAGAAGUAUUUCGGUAUGUAAAGCUCUAUCAGCAGGGAAGAUAAUGACAGUGCCUGAAUAAGAAGCCCCGGCUAACUACGUG
rnacentral:rRNA from 1 species